ACGGCUCAGUAACACGUGGCUAACCUACCCUUAGGACGGGGACAACCCCGGGAAACUGGGGCUAACAUCUGAUAGGUGAGGAGGCCUGGAAUGGUUCCUCCCUGAAAAGGCGUUGAAACCAUGCUUUUCAGCGUCGCCUAAGGAUGGGGCCGCGCCCGAUCAGGUUGUUGGUGGGGUAACGGCUCACCAAGCCAUUAACCGGUACGGGCCGUGAGAGCGGGAGCCCGGAGAUGGGCACUGAGACAAGGGCCCAGGCCCUACGGGGCGCAGCAGUCGCGAAAACUCCGCAAUGCGCGAAAGCGUGACGGGGCUACCCCGAGUGCCGUCCGCUGAGGAUGGCUUUUCCCCGGUGUAAUGAGCCGGGGGAAUAAGGAGAGGGCAAGACUGGUGUCAGCCGCCGCGGUAAUACCAGCUCUCCGAGUGGUAGGGACAAUUAUUGGGCUUAAAGCGUCCGUAGCCGGCUUGGCAAGUCUCCUGUUAAAUUCAGCGACUUAAUCGUUGAGCCGCGGGAGAUAUUACUAGGCUAGGAGGCGGGAGAGGCCGACGGUAUUCCCGGGGUAGGGGUGAAAUCCUAUAAUCCCGGGAGGACCACCAGUGGCGAAGGCUGUCGGCUAGAACGCGCUCGACGGUGAGGGACGAAAGCUGGGGGAGCGAACCGGAUUAGAUACCCGGGUAGUCCCAGCCGUAAACGAUGCGGGCUAGGUGUUGAGGUGGCUACGAGCCACUUCAUGUGCCGCAGGGAAGCCAUUAAGCCCGCCGCCUGGGGAGUACGGCCGCAAGGCUGAAACUUAAAGGAAUUGGCGGGGGAG
rnacentral:rRNA from 1 species